GUGCUCACUUCAGCAGCACAUAUACUAAAAUUGGAAUGAUACAGAGAUUAGCAUGGCCCCUGUGCAAGGAUGACAGGCAAAUUUGUGAAGUAUUCCAUAUUUUU
rnacentral:snRNA from 1 species